rnacentral:rRNA from 1 species
UUGAACGCUGGCGGCAUGCCUUACACAUGCAAGUCGAACGGCAGCACGGGAGCAAUCCUGGUGGCGAGUGGCGAACGGGUGAGUAAUAUAUCGGAACGUGCCCAGUCGUGGGGGAUAACGUAGCGAAAGCUACGCUAAUACCGCAUACGAUCUAUGGAUGAAAGCGGGGGAUCGCAAGACCUCGCGCGAUUGGAGCGGCCGAUAUCAGAUUAGGUAGUUGGUGAGGUAAAGGCUCACCAAGCCGACGAUCUGUAGCUGGUCUGAGAGGACGACCAGCCACACUGGGACUGAGACACGGCCCAGACUCCUACGGGAGGCAGCAGUGGGGAAUUUUGGACAAUGGGCGCAAGCCUGAUCCAGCAAUGCCGCGUGCAGGAUGAAGGCCUUCGGGUUGUAAACUGCUUUUGUACGGGAAUAAACCCUUUUACGUGUAAGAGGCUGAAUGUACGGUAAGAAUAAGGAUCGGCUAACUCCGUG